UACGUAGGUGGCAAGCGUUGUCCGGAAUUACUGGGCGUAAAGGGCGCGUAGGCGGCCGCCUAAGUCAGACGUGAAAUCCCUCGGCUCAACCGGGGAACUGCGUCUGAUACUGGGUGGCUUGAAUUCGGGAGAGGGAUGCGGAAUUCCAGGUGUAGCGGUGAAAUGCGUAGAUAUCUGGAGGAACACCGGUGGCGAAGGCGGCACCCUGGACCAAUUCUGACGCUGAGGAGCGAAAGCCAGGGGAGCAAACGGG
rnacentral:rRNA from 1 species